rnacentral:tRNA from 4 species
CGGGCUGUAGCGCAGUCUGGUUAGCGCACUACACUGGGGGUGUAGGGGUCGGAGGUUCGAAUCCUCUCAGCCCGACCA